rnacentral:rRNA from 1 species
UACAGAGGUGGCAAGCGUUGCUCGGUAUCACUGGGCGUAAAGCGUGCGCAGGCGGGAUGGCAAGUCGGUCGUGAAAUCCCUCGGCUCAACCGAGGAACGUCGAUCGAUACUGCUGUUCUUGAGGAUUGCAGAGGAGACUGGAAUUCCCGGUGUAGCGGUGAAAUGUGUAGAGAUCGGGAGGAACACCGGUGGCGAAGGCGGGUCUCUGGGCAAUUCCUGACGCUGAGGUGCGAAAGCGUGGGGAGCAAACAGG